rnacentral:rRNA from 1 species
UGAGGAAUUUUGCGCAAUGGGAGCAAUCCUGACGCAGCAACGCCGCGUGGGUGAUGAAGGCCUUCGGGUCGUAAAGCCCUGUCAGGUGGGAAGAAUGUCCCGGGACUGAACAGGUUCCGGGAGUGACGGUACCACCAGAGGAAGCACCGGCUAACUCCGUGCCAGCAGCCGCGGUAAUACGGAGGGUGCAAGCGUUACUCGGAAUUACUGGGCGUAAAGGGUGAGUAGGCGGUCGGGCAAGUCAAGGAUGAAAUCCCGAGGCUCAACUUCGGAAUUGUUCUUGAAACUGCUCGGCUUGAGGGUAGUUGAGGAGAGUGGAAUUCCCGGUGGAGCGGUGAAAUGCGCAGAUAUCCGGAGGAACACCAGUGGCGAAAGCGGCCUCCUGGACCAUUCCUGACACUCAGACGCGAAAGCUAGGGUAGCAAACG